UCCCAAAGAAAAACAAAAAGACAAAACAAAAGACACCAAGCCUGACAAGUUUCAACACAUUCAUCUUGCCAACAGUUGAAAGAUGAGUUGCAAAUCCACUUUUUUCUCUCUUCUUUCUUUUCUCUCUUCUUUCUCU
rnacentral:ribozyme from 13 species